rnacentral:rRNA from 1 species
AACGAACGCUGGCGGCAGGCUUAACACAUGCAAGUCGAACGCCCCGCCAGGGGAGUGGCAGACGGGUGAGUAACGCGUGGGAACAUACCAUUUUCUACGGAAUAGCCCGGGGAAACUGGAAUUAAUACCGUAUACGCCCUACGGGGGAAAGAUUUAUCGGGGAAGGAUUGGCCCGCGUUGGAUUAGCUAGUUGGUGGGGUAAAGGCCUACCAAGGCGACGAUCCAUAGCUGGUCUGAGAGGAUGAUCAGCCACAUUGGGACUGAGACACGGCCCAAACUCCUACGGGAGGCAGCAGUGGGGAAUAUUGGACAAUGGGCGCAAGCCUGAUCCAGCCAUGCCGCGUGAGUGAUGAAGGCCUUAGGGUUGUAAAGCUCUUUCACCGAUGAAGAUAAUGACGGUAGUCGGAGAAGAAGCCCCGGCUAACUUCGUG